rnacentral:rRNA from 1 species
GUGGCGAAGGCGGCUGUCUGGUCUGUACUGACGCUGAGGACGAGAGCGUGGGUAGCAAACAGGAUUAGAUACCCGGGAGGGCGCCCGUAAACGAUGAAUGCUAAGUGUUGGAGGGUUUCCGCCCUUCAGUGCUGCAGCUAACGCACCAAAAAAUUGCAGCCUGGGGAGUAUGAUCGCAAGGUUGAAACUCAAAGGAAUUGACGGGGGCCCGCACAAGCGGUGGAGCAUGUGGUUUAAUUCGAAGCUACGCGAAGAACCUUACCAGGUCUUGACAUCUUUUGCCAACCUAAGAGAUUAGGUGUUCCUUUCGGGGACAGAAUGACAGGUGGUGCAUGGUUGUCGUCAGCUCGUGUCGUGAGAUGUUGGGUUAGUCUCUUUAUUAGGGCAACCCUUAUUAUUAGUUUUCAGCUUCAGUUGGGCACUCUGUUAGACUGCCGGUGACAAACCGGAGGAAGGUGGGGAUGACGUCAAAUCAUCAUGCCCCUUAUGACCUGGGCUAA